ensembl:lincRNA
AAUUUUAACUUUAAUUUUAAUUUUAAUUUUAAUUCUAUUAUAGGUGAUCCACAAUCAAUUCAGAACCUGGUCUUCUAUGGUGGCUCACAGUUCCUGCACCCUACAAUAUCGUGGUAAAGAUGGCGAGAUAUUUGUCCCUAGAACGCAGAUAACUGGAUCAAGGCUACUCUUCCUGGAAACCUCAUGUAUGCCACCUGCCCAACCAUUUCUAUGGACAUAUUAUGAAGACUACAUAGGAGACUUUGAUUUGGACUUUCCUAAAUGGGUACAGUGGUCGUUUUCUGAGCUUAUCCUAUUCUGGAGUUUCCUAAGGAAAUACAGACAGAGGCAUCUGCUUUCAGGGACCAUCUAA